GCGACGGGUGAGUACACGUGGGCAAUCUGCCCUUCACUCUGGGACAAGCCCUGGAAACGGGGUCUAAUACCGGAUAACACCGGCUUCCGCAUGGGAGCUGGUUGAAAGCUCCGGCGGUGAAGGAUGAGCCCGCGGCCUAUCAGCUUGUUGGUGGGGUAAUGGCCUACCAAGGCGACGACGGGUAGCCGGCCUGAGAGGGCGACCGGCCACACUGGGACUGAGACACGGCCCAGACUCCUACGGGAGGCAGCAGUGGGGAAUAUUGCACAAUGGGCGAAAGCCUGAUGCAGCGACGCCGCGUGAGGGAUGACGGCCUUCGGGUUGUAAACCUCUUUCAGCAGGGAAGAAGCGAAAGUGACGGUACCUGCAGAAGAAGCGCCGGCUAACUACGUGCCAGCAGCGGGGGUUAAUACG
rnacentral:rRNA from 1 species